GCGGAGCACGCUGAAGGAUCCGGGUGCGCCCUGCCUCUAGUUGCACCUUAGCGGCGUACUCACGCCCUUCCCCGGCGGGCGGCAGGGCGCGGGCGGUUAGACAGCCUCGGUGGAGCCCCGUCCAGCGCCUGCUGGAGUAAAGCGGAAGGAGCCCGUGGCUUCCCGUUUCUGGUCCUACUUUGGGGUUCUGAGGGAGAGCCAGCUACGUAGUCCAUUGGUCGGCUCGAUGACGGGCAGCCAGCCCUCCCUAAAACCCACCACUUCGACAGUUCGGCUUCUGACGCCGGCUUGCUUUUGUCGUCACGGGAACUCUGCUCCCUUUCUGAGGACUCACCUUCUCCCAGUGCUGGAAAACCAAAAGAAAAUGGCAUAACCAAUGUGUUCCCGACUCUUGGGAAUCAGGGCAGAGAAUGAGCAUGAUGCUGCAACCCAAGAGGCAAGCUGUCUGCGGAGGAAAAACUAAGUGAGAUCUGGUGUGAGUAGUGGUCAGGACUUGCCAAUCAAGAAUAUGGCUGAGGCUCUCACCCAGUGGGGAAAGCUGAGCCCUUCUCAGGGAGAUGUGCCUAAGAAACUCAAGAAUCUGGUUUUGCUGGGGCUUUCAAUUUCCAAACCUGAUGUGAUCUCUCAUUUGGAGCACAGGGAAGAACUAG